AGAGGGUGCGAGCGUUAAUCGGAAUUACUGGGCGUAAAGCGAGUGUAGGUGGCUCAUUAAGUCACAUGUGAAAUCCCCGGGCUUAACCUGGGAACUGCAUGUGAUACUGGUGGUGCUAGAAUAUGUGAGAGGGAAGUAGAAUUCCAGGUGUAGCGGUGAAAUGCGUAGAGAUCUGGAGGAAUACCGAUGGCGAAGGCAGCUUCCUGGCAUAAUAUUGACACUGAGAUUCGAAAGCGUGGGUAGCAAACAGGAUUAGAUACCCUGGUAGUCCACGCCGUAAACGAUGUCUACUAGCCGUUGGGGUCCUUGAGACUUUAGUGGCGCAGUUAACGCGAUAAGUAGACCGCCUGGGGAGUACGGCCGCAAGGUUA
rnacentral:rRNA from 1 species